rnacentral:rRNA from 1 species
GGAUGAUGUGGAUUAAUUCGAUGCAACGCGAAAAACCUUACCUACCCUUGACAUGUCCGGAAUCCGAAGAGAUUUGGGAGUGCUCGCAAGAGAACCGGAACACAGGUGCUGCAUGGCUGUCGUCAGCUCGUGUCGUGAGAUGUUGGGUUAAGUCCCGCAACGAGCGCAACCCUUGUCAUUAGUUGCCAUCAUUUGGUUGGGCACUCUAAUGAGACUGCCGGUGACAAACCGGAGGAAGGUGGGGAUGACGUCAAGUCCUCAUGGCCCUUAUGGGUAGGGCUUCACACGUCAUACAAUGGUCGGUACAGAGGGUUGCCAACCCGCGAGGGGGAGCUAAUCCCACAAAGCCGAUCGUAGUCCGGAUCGCAGUCUGCAACUCGACUGCGUGAAGUCGGAAUCGCUAGUAAUCGUGGAUCAGCAUGUCACGGUGAAUACGUUCCCGGGUCUU